UGGAGGAGAGGAGUUAGAGGUUGGCUGGAGGAAGAAAAGAGUGAGUUGCCAAUGUGUAAAGUGAAACUCAUAUGGACUCGCAAGAACUUCGUUUGUGUUCGUGAGGUGGAAAUGUGCGGACAGGAUUCUCCCGUGAACCUGACGGAAUUGUGGAGUGGUGUGAAUGACGAACUCGAUUGAGAGGGGAUUAUCUAUCUGCUAGCUCAGCGGCUAAAGCUAACUGCCAACAGGACUUGGCUGAAGCAUUGGCGGCUUGCCAAUGCAAAGAGUAGAGACCUCGGUUGGGGUUAUAGGAACUCGAAGGAAGAAAUUCUGAUGGAAUCGUACUGGUUGUGGUGAGAACGUUUUUUUCCCGGACGCUCUCAGGAGUUUGGGGUCAUUCCUUACCAGGGACGUUCAUCUGCUCAUGGAUGUUGUGACUGAGGGGACUACCUCCUGAGAUGGAUCAAAGACUUAACAGGCUGAGUCAACCCCCAUUUCGUACUGAGACCUUUCAGCUGAUCACAAAAAGAGAAACAGAUGAAAUUGGUCAUUUGACCAGCGAAUUUUACCUGAGGUGGACUGAAGGCUACAAACGGUGAAGGAUGAGCUACAAAACCACGUAGACUAAGACAGACAGCCAGUUCUGCUACAAAAGGUGGAAAAAUAUCAUAAACUGUAUGUUGGUCCUGCAAUAACAAGCAGCGGCAAACACAAAACACAAGAAUGAAUAAUGUAUUUACAUGCACGCACAAACACAGCCAAACUGACUUACACAUGUGACACGCACGCAAUAACAAAUCACA